rnacentral:tRNA from 1 species
GCGGAGAUGGCCCAGCCCGGUAAGGCGAUGGACUGCUAAUCCAUUGACGUUUACGUCACGAGGGUUCGAAUCCCUCUCUCCGCG